AUUGAACGCUGGCGGCAGGCCUAACACAUGCAAGUCGAACGGUAACAGGAAGAAGCUUGCUUCUUUGCUGACGAGUGGCGGACGGGUGAGUCAUGUCUGGGAAACUGCCUGCUGGAGGGGGAUAACUACUGGAAACGGUAGCUAAUACCGCAUAACGUCGCAAGCCCAAAGAGGGGGACCUUCGGGCCUCUUGCCAUCGGAUGUGCCCAGAUGGGAUUAGCUAGUAGGUGGGGUAACGUCUCACCUAGGCGACGAUCCCUAGCUGGUCUGAGAGGAUGACCGGCGACACUGGAACGUAGACACGGUCCAGAGUCCUACGGGAGGCAGCAGUGGGGAAUAGUGCACAGUAGGCGCAAGCCUGAUGCAGCCAUGCCGCGUGUAUGAAGGAGACGUUCGGGUUGUAAAGUACUUUCAGCGGGGAGGAAGGGAGUAAAGUUAAGACCUUGGCUCAUUGACGGUACCCGCAGAAGAAGCACCGGCUAACUCCGUG
rnacentral:rRNA from 1 species